CCUACGGGUGGCAGCAGUGAGGAAUAUUGGUCAAUGGGCGCUAGCCUGAACCAGCCAAGUAGCGUGAAGGAUGAAUGUCCUAUGGGUUGUAAACUUCUUUUAUAAAGGAAUAAAACGAGGCACGUGUGCCUUUUUGCAUGUACUUUAUGAAUAAGGAUCGGCUAACUCCGUGCCAGCAGCCGCGGUAAUACGGAGGAUCCGAGCGUUAUCCGGAUUUAUUGGGUGUAAAGGGCGCGUAGAUGGCUGGUUAAGUCAGUUGUGAAAGUUUGCGGCUCAACCGGAAAAUUGCAAUUGAUACUGGUAGUCUUGAGUACAGUUGAGGUAGGCGGAAUUCGAGGUGUAGCAGUGAAAUGCUUAGAUAUGUCGAAGAACCCCGAUGGCGAAGGCAGCUUACUAAACUGUAACUGACAUUGAUGCUCGAAAGUGUGGGUAUCAAACAGGAUUAGAUACCCCAGUAGUC
rnacentral:rRNA from 1 species